AUUGAACGCUGGCGGCAUGCUUUACACAUGCAAGUCGAACGGUAACAGGUUAAGCUGACGAGUGGCGAACGGGUGAGUAAUGCAUCGGAACGUGCCCGGUCGUGGGGGAUAACGCAGCGAAAGCUGCGCUAAUACCGCAUACGAUCUAAGGAUGAAAGCGGGGGACCGUAAGGCCUCGCGCGAUCGGAGCGGCCGAUGUCAGAUUAGGUAGUUGGUGGGGUAAAGGCUCACCAAUCCAACGAGCUGUAGCUGGUCUGAGAGGACGACCAGCCACACUGGGACUGAGACACGGACCAGACUCCUACGGGAGGCAGCAGUGGGGAAUUUUGGACAAUGGGCGAAAGCCUGAUCCAGCAAUGCCGCGUGCAGGAAGAAGGCCUUCGGGUUGUAAACUGCUUUUGUACGGAGCGAAAAGGUCUCCUCUAAUACAGGGGGCUCAUGACGGUACCGUAAGAAUAAGCACCGGCUAACUACGUGCCAGCCGCCGCCGUAA
rnacentral:rRNA from 1 species